UUAGGAAUCUUCCACAAUGGGCGAAAGCCUGAUGGAGCGACGCCGCGUGAGGGAUGAAGGCCUUAGGGUUGUAAACCUCUAAAAGAGGGACGAUAAUGACGGUACCUCUUGAGUAGCACCGGCUAACUCCGUGCCAGCAGCCGCGGUAAUACGGAGGGUGCAAGCGUUAUCCGGAAUCACUGGGCGUAAAGGGCGCGUAGGCGGUCUGUUAAGUCCGAUGUUAAAUCCCGGGGCUCAACCCCGGAUAAGCGUUGGAUACUGGCAGGCUAGACGGUUGGAGAGGCGAGUGGAAUUACCAGUGUAGCGGUGGAAUGCGUAGAUACUGGUAGGAACACCCAUUGCGAAGGCAGCUCGCUGGACAACACGUGACGCUGAGGCGCGAAAGUGUGGGGAGCAAACC
rnacentral:rRNA from 1 species